GCAAAGGCUGAGAGGUACGAGAAGACUUGGGACAACAGAGCAGCUGCGUGUGUCAGGGUCCAGGGGAGAGGGUGAAGGAGAGAUGGAUGGGGAGGCCGGGCUGGCUGGAGGAGAGGCAAUCCCCCAGAAAGAGAGCAAGGAGUGAGAAUGAGCCCUCCUCCCCUGAGAACAGAGCCCCGUGGAGCUGCUCCAGGAUCCUCCACCCAGUGCCCUGUGCCUCCAUGAGCUUUGCCGUGGGGAGGUGCUGAGUAGGAGGUUUUCUCUGAGGCAAAAAAACCCAAGCAGCAAGCAGUCAGCUACUCACCGGAGGUCUCUUCCAGACGAACUGGAUGGGGAACUUUUGGCUGUAAAACAGGGAGGUCUCGUCCGGUGGGAACUCAGGAUCCACAAAAAGAACCUUCUUUUCCAGACAUUUCUUGUGAAGCUGCUCGAAUGUCUUCUCUUUCACCCCAAUAAUGGGAAAAUUGCGGCUGAUGAUGGCUGAGUAGAUGCCACUUGGGUUUCCACCCCCUGCCUCGGUGCCCUUGCCCUGGGCUGCCUGGGCGAUGGGCCCUGGGGACCUGGGCUCAGCCCCUGUCCGUGGGGCCACGGAGGCGCUAAUGACGGUCGGCAUGGCAGGCAAAUUUGGAAAGAAAAGGUUUUUAAAGA